AAAUUGAAGAGUUUGAUCAUGGCUCAGAUUGAACGCUGGCGGCAGGCCUAACACAUGCAAGUCGAACGGUAACAGGAAGCAGCUUGCUGCUUCGCUGACGAGUGGCGGACGGGUGAGUAAUGUCUGGGAAACUGCCUGAUGGAGGGGGAUAACUACUGGAAACGGUAGCUAAUACCGCAUAAUGUCGCAAGACCAAAGAGGGGGACCUUCGGGCCUCUUGCCAUCGGAUGUGCCCAGAUGGGAUUAGCUUGUUGGUGGGGUAACGGCUCACCAAGGCGACGAUCCCUAGCUGGUCUGAGAGGAUG
rnacentral:rRNA from 2 species